GCUCUUCUAGUAUAUCAAUUACAAUCNACUUCCAAUCCUUAGAAUCUGGUUUAAGCCCAGAGAAGAGCA
rnacentral:tRNA from 1 species